rnacentral:misc_RNA from 1 species
GAUGAAGAACGCAGCGAAAUGCGAUAAGUAAUGUGAAUUGCAGAAUUCAGUGAAUCAUCGAAUCUUUGAACGCACAUUGCGCCCGCUAGUAUUCUGGCGGGCAUGCCUGUCCGAGCGUCAUUUCAACCCUCAAGCCCCCGGGCUUGGUGUUGGGGAUCGGCGAGCCUCCGCGCCCGCCGUCCCCUAAAUCUAGUGGCGGUCUCGCUGUAGCUUCCUCUGCGUAGUAGCAAACCUCGCACUGGGAAACAGCGCGGCCACGCCGUUAAACCCCCAACUUCUGAACGUUUGACCUCGGAUCAGGUAGGAAUACCCGCUGAACUUAAGCAUAUCAAUAAGCGGAGGA